rnacentral:misc_RNA from 1 species
GAUGAAGAACGUAGCGAAAUGCGAUAAGUAAUGUGAAUUGCAGAAUUCAGUGAAUCAUCGAAUCUUUGAACGCUCAUUGCGCCCGCCAGUAUUCUGGCGGGCAUGCCUGUUCGAGCGUCAUUUCAACCAUCAAGCCCCAGGCUUGUGUUGGGGACCUGCGGCUGCCGCAGGCCCUGAAAACCAGUGGCGGGCUCGCUGUCACACCGGGCGUAGUAGAUUUUAUCUCGCUCUGGGCGUGCUGCGGGUUCCGGCCGUUAAAAAACCCUUUUAACCCAAGGUUGACCUCGGAUCAGGUAGGAAUACCCGCUGAACUUAAGCAUAUCAAUAAGCGGAGGA